UUAAUUGGGUGUUGGCCACAGCAUUCAAAGCAUUUAUUAGAUCAAAACCAACUGCAGUGAUGCGUCAGUAUCAUUGUAAGGUGAAUCUAGAUAACUUUGCUGAUCGUAUGGCCUUGUGCCGGCGACAUUUCAAUUGAAUUUCUGCCCUAUCAACUUGUUGGUAAGGUAGUGGCUUACCAAGGUUACAACGGGUAACGGGGAAUCAGGGUUCGAUUCCGGAGAGGGAGCCUGAGAAAUGGCUACCACAUCCAAGGGAGGCAGCAGGCGCGCAAAUUACCCAAUCCAGAUUCUGGGAGGUGGUGACGAGAAAUACUAGAUAGUUUCCUAACGGAUGCUAUACUGGAAUGGACGUAAUUUAAGAAAUUCGAUGAGUAACAACUGGAGGGCAAGUCUGGUGCCAGCAGCCGCGGUAAUUCCAGCUCCAGUAGUGUAUCUUAAAGUUGCUGCGUUUAAAACGCUCGUAGUUGGAUUACGCAGCAUAAUCUAGUAGAUUUGCUCGAUGCCACACUAAAUUCAGCUAUUGGUGGUUGCUGCUAUGGUUUAUCCUGGUAGUCGCCAUCAGUGGUUGAAGUGGUACGAGCAAAUUAACAGCUAGUUUAUGCUACUUUUUCGUGAGAUGGCAGUUGACCUUUAAUGUGUUGAUUGUCGUGUCUUACGAAGCGUGCCUUGAAUAAAUCAGAGUGCUCAAUACAGGCUUUAGCUUGAAUGUCGAUAGCAUGGAACGAACAAUUGUGUUAAAUGUGUCUUGUUCAGCUUCUAGGUUGAUUUAUAUUGGCCUAGAAAUCCUGUUCAACUCACAGCACCAACCACCAUUAUCGGAUGUUGGUUUCCGUGAUGGGGUGAUGAUUAAAAGGAGCGGUUGGGGGCAUUGGUAUUUUGCCGCGAGAGGUGAAAUUCUUGGACCGGCAAAGGACUAACAAAUGCGAAGGCAUCUGUCAAGACCGUUUCCAUUAAUCAAGAACGAUAGUGAGAGGUUCGAAGACGAUCAGAUACCGUCCUAGUUCUCACUGUAAACUAUGCCGACCCGGGAUCAGUUUCGAGCUAUAUUACGCUCGUGGUUGGUCCCCCUGGGAAACCUCAAGUUUUUAGGUUACGGGGGGAGUAUGGUCGCAAGGCUGAAACUUAAAGGAAUUGACGGAAGGGCACCACCAGGGGUGGAGCCUGCGGCUUAAUUUGACUCAACACGGGAAAACUCACCUGGUCCGGACAUCGAAAGGAUAGACAGACUGAUAGAUCUUUCUUGAUACGGUGGAUGGUGGUGCAUGGCCGUUCUUAGUUCGUGGAGUGAUCUGUCAGGUUGAUUCCGGUAACGGACGAGACCAUAAUUUUCAUUUAAGGAACUAGAAAAGACUUUGAGAAGGUUCGCCUUUUCCUUGUCGCUGGUACAGUGUGUCUUCAUUGCGUUUUGACCUGUUGUCGUUCGUCUUUUACGAGAAGGGUGACAGUAGGAAGAGGCGUAAUAACGGGGUGCAUUGUCCCUCUAGUCAAACAUCGUAGAGCUUGCUUUACGGUGUACUAUGAAAAGACAACCAAGAAUACUUAAGAAGUUGGAGAAGUUUUU
rnacentral:rRNA from 1 species